rnacentral:tRNA from 1 species
AAGAGUAUAGCUAAAACAGAAUAGCAUCUCCCUUACACUGAGAAGGUAUUCGUGCAAGUCGAAUUAUUCUUA